rnacentral:rRNA from 1 species
CAGCAGCCGCGGGAAUACGUAGGGUGCGAGCGUUAAUCGGAAUUACUGGGCGUAAAGCGUGCGCAGGCGGUUAUAUAAGACAGAUGUGAAAUCCCCGGGCUCAACCUGGGACCUGCAUUUGUGACUGUAUAGCUAGAGUACGGUAGAGGGGGAUGGAAUUCCGCGUGUAGCAGUGAAAUGCGUAGAUAUGCGGAGGAACACCGAUGGCGAAGGCAAUCCCCUGGACAAAGACUGACGCUCAGGUGCGAUAGCGUGGUGAGCAAACAGGAUUAGAGACCCCAGUAGUCCCUGUCUCUUAUAC